rnacentral:misc_RNA from 1 species
AUGUGCCAAAGAGAGAUAAAUUAUCAACUGUUGGAGAGCACCGAUCUCACUUGGAAUACCACCAAAGAAAUGAUUCUUUGACAAGUCCAUUUGAUAAAUGACCUCUAAAUUUCCAAUUCAGAUGGCCACCUAGUGAAUUUGAUGACAAGUUAAAAACCAACAUGUCCUCCUUAAGGGCAUACUUGAAGUUAAAUUAUUGCUAUCAAGCUGUUA